rnacentral:rRNA from 2 species
UUUAGUUUUUACGGGCAUUCGGUGGAUGCCUUGGCACCUUGAGCUGAUGAAGGACGUAGCGGCCUGCGAUAAUCCUCGGGGAGUUGGCGAGCGAGCUUUGAUCCGGGGGUUUCCGAAUGGGGGAACCUAGCCAGGUUUGUUUCUGGUUACCAUCACUUGAAUAUAUAGGGUGAUUGGGGGGAACGCGGGGAAGUGAAACAUCUCAGUACCCGCAGGAAGAGAUAUUCCGUUAGUAGUGGCGAGCGAACGCGGAGGAGGCUAAACCAUGUGCGUGUAAUUACCCGGCAGGGGUUGCGUGUGUGGGGUUGUGGGGUCUUGUUGGUUGUGUCUGCCGGCG